ACGCACGCUGGCGGCAUGCCUCAUCCCUGCCAGUCGAACGAGAUCUUCGGAUCUAGUGGCGCACGGGUGCGUCACGCGUGGGAAUCUGCCCUUGGGUUCGGAAUAACUUCUGGAAACGGAAGCUAAUACCGGAUGAUGACGUAAGUCCAAAGAUUUAUCGCCCAAGGAUGAGCCCGCGUAGGAUUAGGUAGUUGGUGAGGUAAAGGCUCACCAAGCCGACGAUCCUUAGCUGGUCUGAGAGGAUGAUCAGCCACACUGGGACUGAGACACGGCCCAGACUCCUACGGGAGGCAGCAGUAGGGAAUAUUGGACAAUGGGCGAAAGCCUGAUCCAGCAAUGCCGCGUGAGUGAUGAAGGCCUUAGGGUUGUAAAGCUCUUUUACCCGGGAUGAUAAUGACAGUACCGGGAGAAUAAGCGCCGGCUAACUCCGUG
rnacentral:rRNA from 1 species